AGAGUUUGAUCCUGGCUCAGGACGAACGCUGGCGGCGUGCCUAAGCUUAUGCAAGUCGAACGCGAACGGCUCCUUCGGGAGCCUAGUAGAGUGGCAAACGGGUGAGUAACGCGUGGGUAACGUACCCUGAUCCUGGGAAUAACCCUCGGAAACGAGGGCUAAUACCGAAUGUGGCGAACGACCGGUUGGUCGCUCGCUAAAGGUGGCCUCUUCUAUGCUGCCGGGUUGGGAUCGGCCCGCGUCCCAUUAGCUAGUUGGUGAGGUAACGGCUCACCAAGGCCACGAUGGGUAGCCGGCCUGAGAGGGUGUACGGCCACACUGGCACUGAGACAAGGGCCAGUCCCCUAUGGGAGGCGCAGGCGGGAAUAGUUCACAAUGGGCGAAAGCCUGAUGACGCGACGCCGCGUGAGCGAAGAAGACCUUCGGGUUGUAAAGCUCUGUCAGGAGGGAAGAAGGCUCUACGGGUUAAUAGCCCGUGGAAUUGACGGUACCUCCAGAGGAAGCCCCGGCUAAAUACGUGCCAGCAGCCGCGGUAAUACGUAUGGGGCAAGCGUUGUCCGGAUUUACUGGGCGUAAAGGGCGCGUAGGCGGUUUGUUAAGUCGAAGGUGAAAUCCUCGGGCUCAACUCGAGAAUUGCCUUCGAUACUGGCAAACUAGAGUGGCGGAGAGGAAAGCGGAACUCUUGGUGUAACGGUGGAAUGUGUAGAUAUCAAGAGGAACACCGGUGGCGAAGGCGGCUUUCUGGACGCACACUGACGCUCAGGCGCGAAAGCGUGGGUAGCGAACAGGAUUAGAUACCCUGGUAGUCCACGCCAUAAACGAUGGGUACUAGGUGUCGGGGGUAUCGACCCCUCCGGUGCCGCAGUUAACGC
rnacentral:rRNA from 1 species